AUAAGGUAUGCAUUUUCACUGACGAUAGUAUGACCCUAAACAGAAUAAAUAAUGCUCGCCGUCGCCGUUAGCUUUAGCUUAUCGCAAGCUAGGACGAGGCCUGCGGUGCUUUUCUCGGUAUGUUCAAGCAGCAAACAGCGCAGUCGUGCGAGAACGGCGCUGCAGUCCUUUCAGACCGGCAAGUUCAAAUACUCGGUAUUCUACUAGACAUAUCUCGUUAUUGCAAGAAUACAGUAGCAUACACUUCUAGCUAUGUGUAACUAACUGUUAAAUUAAGGAAGCUGUAGGACGGUUUUCCACGCCGUACGAUUACACUUUUUUUCAAUGGAGUCUGGUGGCUUAUAAGCUCCAAGUCACCAGACUCCAUUGGAAAAAAAACAGAUUUUACGGCGUGUAAGACCGGUCUACAGCUGCCUUAAUUAAACGGUUAGUUUGUGGGUUCUAUUGUGUGGUUGUUGUAUUUCAGUGGAUACUAAUGAAUACUAGCGUUUUCGCUGGGACAUGUUGUGCUUUUCAGCCGUUCAGCCAGGCGGGCGCGUGCAUGCGGGCACACCAUAUAUAGUAUUAUGCUUCAUUCAGUGAUGCACUAAAUUGUGUGAUUAAAUUUGUUUAGUCCUCUACCUACAGUAAGUUAAUAAAAACGAAUGAAUUAAACUAAGAAAUUGGACGAAAUAUAUCAGAUAAACUCACCAUUGACGUUUUCCUGUUUGCUCUCUACUUUAGUACAUGUUACUUUGAUUUUGUAGUAAUGUUUUUUAUCCAUCUCUUUGUGUUUAAGACAAAUUACAUAACAGGACACAGACAGACCGCAGCAUUGAAGGGCCUUCCUUUAUUUCUCCGUGAGAGUCACGAGAAGCUGUUCAGGAAUUGUCUGGAUACUGACCCAGAAGAGGAGAAGACAAGGGGUCUCAAAGUGGGGAUACUUUCUGUGAUGGAGGAUCAAAGUUCUGCUCCUGCAAGACUUAAAAAUGUAGCUGUGGUUUUAGAAGAACAUAUCGUCUUACAAGACCUCCCUGACCUGCCAACGGCCCUUGCGUUGCUCUUUGGGCCGAUAUACGCUCUGAACAUCCAGUUUCCCAAGGAACUGCGAUACACCUUUGAAAUGUUUCAAAAGAUCUUUUUGGAGCUGGGGACAGAUCUCUCUGCAAGAGUCAGAUCCCUCAAAAACAAACUUCUUCUGUAACCCUGUGUCAGAACCUAAUGUUGAGCUGCAAGUUCUGUUGAAAACAAACUUGUUGGGCCUGUUUUAAAUUGUUAAUGUUCAUGCUGCCCUUUUGUAUAUUUACUUAUUUUACUCAGUCCCCCAAAUAUCUAUUCUCUUCCUGUCUAUAGGAAUAAUGCUGUAUUAUGCAUUUUAAUACAGCACGUGCUGAUAUUCCAAUGUUUUAAGAAAGCAACUGUUUCACCUGAUCGGGUGAGCUAUUGGUCUUCUGUGCUUUUGCACAGCACUUGAGACAUGCAAGACAUGUUCAAUAAAAAAAGAAUUGAAUUGAGA